CCGUUUUUUGAUAUCUCGUGACGGAGGGGCGGUACGACCCCUUCCAUUUUUGAACAUGCGAAAAAAGAGGUGUUUUUCAAUAAUUUGCAGCCUGAAACGGUGAUGAGAUAGAAAUUUGGUGUCAAAGGGACUUUUAUGUAAAAUUAGACGCCCGAUUUGAUGGCGUACUCAGAAUUCCGAAAAAACGUAUUUUUCAUCGAAAAAAACACUAAAAAAGUUUUAAAAAUUCUCCCAUUUUCCGUUACUCGACUGUAAAAUUUUUUGGAACAUGUCAUUUUAUGGGAAAUUUAAUGUACUUUUCGAAUCUACAUUGUCCCAGAAGGGUCAUUUUUUCAUUUAGAACAAAAUUUUUCAUUUUAAAAUUUCGUGUUUUUUUUUAACUUUGCAGGGUUAUUUUUUAGAGUGUAACAAUGUUCUACAAAGUUGUAGAGCAGACAAUAACAAAAAUUUUGAUAUCUAGACAUAAGGGGUUUGCUUAUAAACAUCACAAGUUAUCGCGAUUUUACGAAAAAAAGUUUUGAAAAAGUUGGUCGUCAUCGAUCAUGGCCGUUCAUGGUCACCCGCGACAGACACGGACGACGAAACAAAGAGAAACGCAAAAAGUAACUUUUUCAAAACUUUUUUUCGUAAAAUCGCGAUAACUUGUGAUGUUUAUAAGCAAACCCCUUAUGUCUAUAUACAUAGACUAAAUAUAUAUAGAUACGCCACUCCCCUGUUGGGGCUGGCGACACUACCGCCACGCCAAAAUAGCACCUGGUGGCAAUUCACAGGUACUACUUUUCGAUGUUUCCAAAGGGAAAGUGAGUUUUCCCCAGUUUCAGUUCAAAUGUUACGGUUGCAUCGUAGCAACAGCUGCUUUUCAAACUUUGUUUAUUUUCUGUCAACAUUUCAACUUCAACUUCAAAGCGUUGGAUCCUACAAGAUCAACCCGUUGCGGGCGUUUUCGACCACAAAAAAUUCCACGCGCAGAACCUCACGGACGACACGGAGUGCUCGCAGUGAAGAUGUCAGCAAGCCUCUUUAAGAUGGACCUGUCACCCAUUCCACAACGGCAAGAGAAAACU